AGUUUGAUCCUGGCUCAGGACGAACGCUGGCGGCGUGCUUAACACAUGCAAGUCGAACGAUGAAGCCUUUCGGGGUGGAUUAGUGGCGAACGGGUGAGUAACACGUGGGCAAUCUGCCCUUCACUCUGGGACAAGCCCUGGAAACGGGGUCUAAUACCGGAUAACACUUUGUUCCUCAUGGGACGGGGUUAAAAGCUCCGGCGGUGAAGGAUGAGCCCGCGGCCUAUCAGCUUGUUGGUGGGGUAAUGGCCUACCAAGGCGACGACGGGUAGCCGGCCUGAGAGGGCGACCGGCCACACUGGGACUGAGACACGGCCCAGACUCCUACGGGAGGCAGCAGUGGGGAAUAUUGCACAAUGGGCGAAAGCCUGAUGCAGCGACGCCGCGUGAGGGAUGACGGCCUUCGGGUUGUAAACCUCUUCAGCAGGGAAGAAGCGAAAGUGACGG
rnacentral:rRNA from 1 species